rnacentral:rRNA from 1 species
GAGUUUGAUUCUGGCUCAGAACGAACGCUGGCGGUGCGUUUUAAGCAUGCAAGUCGAACGGUAAAAAGAGAGCUUGCUCUCCUUGAGAGUGGCGGACUGGUGAGUAACGCGUGGAUGAUCUACCUUUGAGAUGGGGAUAGCUUCUAGAAAUAGGAGAUAAUACCGAAUAACCUUGUUGUGUUUUGAUGUAACAAGAAAAGGAGCGUCAGCUCCGCUCGAAGAUGAGUCUGCGUCCCAUUAGCUAGUUGGUAGGGUAAAGGCUUACCAAGGCGACGAUGGGUAUCCGGCCUGAGAGGGUGAACGGACACAUUGGGACUGAGAUACGGCCCAAACUCCUACGGGAGGCAGCAGCUGAGAAUCUUCCGCAAUGGACGAAAGUCUGACGGAGCGACACCGCGUGAACGAUGAAGGCCGGAAGGUUGUAAAGUUCUUUUGCAGACAAAGAAUAAGGAUAGAAGGAAAUGACUAUCUGAUGA